rnacentral:rRNA from 1 species
AAGCAGAGGGGGCUUAGUGGUGGGGUGACUGCGUACCUUUUGUAUAAUGGGUCAGCGACUUAUAUUCUGUAGCAAGGUUAACCGAAUAGGGGAGCCGGAGGGAAACCGAGUCUUAAUUGGGCGUUAAGUUGCAGGGUAUAGACCCGAAACCCGGUGAUCUAGCCAUGGGCAGGUUGAAGGUUGGGUAACACUAACUGGAGGACCGAACCGACUAAUGUUGAAAAAUUAGCGGAUGACCUGUGGCUGGGGGUGAAAGGCCAAUCAAACCGGGAGAUAGCUGGUUCUCCCCGAAAGCUAUUUAGGUAGCGCCUCGUGAAUUCAUCUCCGGGGGUAGAGCACUGUUUCGGCUAGGGGGUCAUCCCGACUUACCAACCCGAUGCAAACUGCGAAUACCGGAGAAUGUUAUCACGGGAGACACACGGCGGGUGCUAACGUCCGUCGUGAAGAGGGAAACAACCCAGACCGCCAGCUAAGGUCCCAAAGUCAUGGUUAAGUGGGAAACGAUGUGGGAAGGCCCAGACAGCCAGGAUGUUGGCUUAGAAGCAGCCAUCAUUUAAAGAAAGCGUAAUAGCUCACUGGUCGAGUCGGCCUGCGCGGAAGAUGUAACGGGGCUAAACCAUGCACCGAAGCUGCGGCAGCGAACGUAUCACCCAAGACAACUUUGCGGAGUUGACGAUUGACGGAGCGAAGCGACGUCAAAGCGUUCAUUAAAGUCGAGUUGGCUUAGGGAUACGUUCGUUGGGUAGGGGAGCGUUCUGUAAGCCUGUGAAGGUGUGUCGUGAGGCAUGCUGGAGGUAUCAGAAGUGCGAAUGCUGACAUAAGUAACGAUAAAGCGGGUGAAAAGCCCGCUCGCCGGAAGACCAAGGGUUCCUGUCCAACGUUAAUCGGGGCAGGGUGAGUCGACCCCUAAGGCGAGGCCGAAAGGCGUAGUCGAUGGGAAACGGGUUAAUAUUCCCGUACUUGGUGUUACUGCGAAGGGGGGACGGAGAAGGCUAUGUUGGCCGGGCGACGGUUGUCCCGGUUUAAGCGUGUAGGCUGGUUUUCCAGGCAAAUCCG